UGAUGAUCCGAGGUUUGACGUUCAAGAUGUGUGUUUUCAAAGCAAGGUGACUUGAGCUGCCUAGGCAGCAGACCCCCUUCUACUUAAAAAUUCACUAAAAAUCAGUUAAUAGUUUAAAAUUGACAAGUAUAAUUUUUCCUAAAACCAAAAAUAAUAGAAUUCUUUUUUCAACAAAUUUCAGAAAAAAAUAAAAAAAUAAAAAAAAUGUAAGUAAGUAUUAAGAUACAAUUUUUCAAAGCUGAUUGUUCAACACUACCAAGGCAGCAGAUUCCUUUGCAUUUAAAAAUUCAUUAAAAAUCUGAUAUAGAUUGGGAAUUAGUGAUUUAAAUUUUUUAGUAAACUAAAUUUUAGAGUGCAUUCAUUUCAAUAAUCCACAACAAAUUUGAGUCAAAGGCCACCGAGUUAUAGAUUUUUUAAGCUGAUGCUCCUACACUGCCAAGGUAGUAGACCCCUACCACCUUGAAAACUCGCCAAAAAUUCAUCACAACUUCAAAUCGGGCCUGCCUUAUGCCAUUACAAAGCUAAGGGUGAGUAGAAUCUGCUUACAAAGUUUCACAAAAAGAAAAUAAAAUGAAAUAUACUGAGCGAGUUAAAAUUGAGGCCAUACAAGUUUAAAGAAGAAAAUUUGCAUUCACAAGAUGGCUGAACAUUUUGCCAUGGCUUCGCCACAAGAAGAUGGAGAGAGAGAGAGGGAGCUCAGU
rnacentral:lncRNA from 1 species